CAGGCGCCAUGGUGAGGAGUGGUU
rnacentral:piRNA from 1 species